CCUUGCGCGGCGUGAUUGUCGGUGAGUCAGGUUAAAUUCUUGAAUAGGUCGCGCCUGCGCCUAAUUGAGUCUAUAAAAGCCUGCACAUUCAGUUUUGCUAGCUACAAUGCAGUGCGGCUGGCGUGAGCUGUCUCCACGAUGCGCUUCGAGCGUGUCGAUUUCGCCGUUCUUUAUGUUGGCGUUAACGACCUUGAAAGCAACAUGGAUCCACAAGAAAUGUGCGACAACAUCAAGGCCUUGAUUGUUCAACGAGACGGCCCCCGUCGUGCUGGUUUUCAAGGUGCUCCCUCGCUGCCUAGAUGCUGAUGCGGAAUAGAAAAUGCAAGAACGUCGCUUGCUCAACCGCAAAUUGACGGUUACGCUGAAGCGCAUGUCGUGUCUGCGGAAUUUGAACCCCGAGCUUUCCAGAGUUCCUUGGAAAAUCCCCCCAUGCACCUGCCAUGUACAUUGCCCUCCUCCUCGAUGUGGUGUGCAAGAUGGCAGCAGCAGC